rnacentral:lncRNA from 10 species
UGUCCGGACUAUCGGAGAUUUACAGUGGAGCACCAUCUCCCCAAACAUUGCUACUACCUCCGUCUGAGAAGAGGCAGGCAGUGAGAACAAGCCGAGCUGAGCCUCUGGCGGUGAGGACCUGGCUAAAUCCAAGCCAGGAGCACUGUGGGCCAAGGCUGGACAGCCCUCACCUAUGGACUCUUGUCACUUCCAGAGGUGCAGAACGCUGAUGAGAUACCCCUUGGACUCCUUCCAGAAGAGUCUCCCAUUGAGGCAAUUAGGUGAGAGCUGACGACAAUUUAGCGAGCACGCAGCGAUGCCAAGGGUCUCCCGGAUCAAGAGGUCCUAGUUUUGCCCUUCAAAAGAUACACAAAGAAAAUUGAAUCCCUUCGCCCAUGUCAGUGCUCCACUUAUUUUAGGACAAUUUCCAGGUUGUCUCUAGGACUUUCCCUUUCUGUGCUAUGAAAUGAGGCCUGAGGACACGUGCCGAGUGCCUACGGGCUGCUUGAGACGGGAGAUACCUUUUGUCCAUUCAUUCUUCAUCUCAUGCUGACUGAAGCCUUAAUGCCACUCACUCCACACAAUGGCGCCUGCCUGGAGAACUGGGUGAGAGGGUCGUUCAUCUUCGUAGUCUCACCCCGUAGCAGGAGGGACUGGCAGAGCCUCCUAGAUGCCACCCCUCCCAGGCAAAGCUUCAGCCUGCACCCCUGGACCAGGGCUAAUAACAUCAGCCACUGGCCACUUGACAUGUUGCUGAGAGAUUUCCCAAACACACAUUCCCAUCUUAGCAAAUUAACUCCAAGAACACAGUGAGGAAGAAGAUAAGUUAAAGGAGAGAUGUCUAAAUGAGAAACUAAACUCGGUCUUCCUGAGACAGCCAGUGCCGACGGCUUGCGCUGGGUGGAAAGGUGAGAUUUCAUCACUGCUUCUCCCCAGGGCUGGCAGGGGCAGAUCAAGUUGCCUCUCACUCCGGCCCCACCCUGAGGAAUGGACUCAUGGACACUGCAGGGCUUUCUCUCCUCUGAUAUCUUUGAGUCAAGGCGCCGUGUUGACCAAGUGGGUCAGAUAAAGGACUACAAAGCCAUUGUCCGAAUUGCCCAGGGAGGAUGUGGCCAACAUUCCUAGGUGUGUUUGGAAAUAUGGCUGAGACAGUAGGUGCCAAGUGAGAGACGCUGGCAAAGUAAGCCUACAUUUGGAGACCAGUGGUUCCCUGCUGUCACAGGGGACUUCGGAAUAAAUCCCUUCCAACCCACUAGCACACACGCUGCCACACACGACCAUAGAUGGUGAAUCCUGCACUCCCAACUCUCUCCCGGUGGCUUCUACAACAGGAUGUUGUUUAUUACAAUAGAAUUAAUCUGCUUUUCCAGAAUUUAGUAAUCCAUCAAUUGACAAACUUCCCUGAUACAUACUUUUAAGAUUCUAGAAAAAUUCAACUCAUUAUUAUACAUUAUUCACUUCCCAAAUCAGUGAAAACUGCAUGUGAUAUGUUAUAACCAUAAAAUUAUUACAUCAAGCACUUAUGGACAAAAGUUAAGUCACAAAAUAGGUGGAAAGAAGAAAACAAUUAUAUUAGAAGACUUAACCUAAGGAAGUAUGAAAUUUAGCUCUGAGCUUCUGCAGUAAAAUAGAAAAGAGGCAGGCGGAUCACUUGAGGUCAGGAGUUCGAGACCAGCCUGGGCAACAUGGUGAAACUCUGUUUCUACUAAAAACACAAAAAUUAGCAGGACGUACUGUUGCAUGCUUGUAAUCCCAGCUAGUUGGGAGGCUGAGACGUGAGAAUCCCUUGAACCCAGGAGGCAGAGGUUGCAGUGAGCGGAGAUCUUGCCACUGCACUCCAGCCUGGGCAACAGAGUGAGACUCUGUCUCAAAAUAAUAAUAAUAAAUAAAUAAAUAAAAUAUAAAAGGGAAUAAAAGCGACAUAUGUGCCAUUAUUUAAUGCAAGAGAGCAUACAAAUUCAUCUGGAGAAGUUGCCUUGAUACAUUUCAAGUAAG